AACGCGAAGAACCUUACCAGCUCUUGACAUCUUCUGACAACUCUAGAGAUAGAGCGUUCCCUUCGGGGACAGAAUGACAGGUGGUGCAUGGUUGUCGUCAGCUCGUGUCGUGAGAUGUUGGGUUAAGUCCCGUAACGAGCGCAACCCUUGUUGUUAGUUGCCAGCAUUAAGUUGGGCACUUUAACGAGACUGCCGGUGAUAAACCGGAGGAAGGCGGGGAUGACGUCAAAUCAUCAUGCCCCUUAUGAGCUGGGCUACACACGUGCUACAAUGGAUGGUACAACGAGCAGCGAUCCCGCAAGGGCUAGCUAAUCUUUCAAAGCCAUUCUCAGUUCGGAUUGCACUCUGCAACUCGAGUGCAUGAAGUCGGAAUCGCUAGUAAUCGCGAAUUCAGAA
rnacentral:rRNA from 1 species